rnacentral:miRNA from 1 species
UUUUUGUGGGUGAAAUUAGGUAGUGGCAGUGGAAGGCUAUAUUAAUCAGCCUUCCACUGCCACUACCUAAUUUCUCAGAUGGAAA